GGGUUGUGAGGUUAAGCGACUAAGCGUACACGGUGGAUGCCCUGGCAGUCAGAGGCGAUGAAGGACGUGCUAAUCUGCGAUAAGCGUCGGUGAGGUGAUAUGAACCGUUAUAACCGGCGAUUUCCGAAUGGGGAAACCCAGUGUGUUUCGACACACUAUCAUUAACUGAAUCCAUAGGUUAAUGAGGCGAACCGGGGGAACUGAAACAUCUAAGUACCCCG
rnacentral:rRNA from 2 species